AGGAUGGUGCUCAAACUGCAGGAUGCAGGCUUUCCCUGAAUUCCUCAGGAUUCAGGUUUCCAGUCAAUGCAAGAAGCCCUUCUUCCGUCCCUUCAGGAUCAGCCUGCUCUCUGCAGGGCGCUUCCAGGGACAAGGCCUCAUGAGGACAGCCCACUCCAUAAACAGGUGGAAUGCUGCCUUGAUCAAGUGCAGUCUCCUUCCCAGCUCUGCAAUGCAAGCGCACCCUGGACCCUGACUUCCCCAUCCUCCUUUUAUGCAGUCUCAAACUGAUGUGUCAUCGCUCCACAGUCCCUCAAGCCCCCAAGCUUCUCCCUCCUGCCUAGCUCCUUCCCUGGCCCCCAAAGAAGGCUGACAGGAGAAACUAAACUGAAAUAAAGAGGCCAUGGUAGCUCUGUUUCCUAAGAUGUUUUGUUCUUUUUCUACCCAUAAGGGAAUGAUUCAAAAUGUCCCUCCACCUGGGUCCAACCGG
ensembl:lncRNA novel transcript